UCACUAGCAGAUGGCCGAUGGGGCCAUCACGAAGUCAGUCCCAGAUUCAAGUUCACGAAGCCCAAAUCAUCCAAUUAAGAUCGAUCCGCUAACCGCCCUUUCAUAGCGGCGAGCUGUUGUCAGACAUCAAUUGAAUACUCGAUAUGCCUGUUGACUAUCGAUAGUUCCAUUGUGCAUUUUUCAACACUAGUUACCACAGCAACACAAAUUUUUGCUAAUUUAACAAUUUAAUUUAAAAACAAUUGAAUUAGUAUAAUUCAAGUUUUAAAAACAUAUAUAAACCGAUAAACAGCCAUGGAGGAAGCCGCAGCAUGCCAAUUGCAGUACGAGAACAAGGAGAACUAUGUAUAUUCUCUUGCUGCAAGCCGUCGUACGACUGGCUAUCUACUAGAUGGUGGGCGUGUCAUAGGCACUGUGCGGUAGCCACCCUGGAAAGAUAUCACAGAUGGCAAGGAUGCCAUAAAUACACUGACUUUGAUUACAGAAAUUUUUUCCAAUGAAAAGGCUUCCAGCAAGGGAAUUCUCUGCGAGAAUUCGGUGGAAAUGCUUCUGGGCUACGAUUGGACUCAUUCAAGCAGCAGAAGCUGAACCUCAGGUCCAUGGCCAGGGUUAACGCAAGCGGAUUCUCGAAAAUAUACACGGCGACUCGGCAAUAUCAAAGAUUCUGAGGAUGCGUCAACUGUAGGAGCUCGAUGAGCUUGCCUUGACCUAUGUGCAUGUGCCUGUCAUAGAUCUGGCCCAGAUGGUAACUCAGAGCAAUAGCAAGGAACCAUAUUUACAAUAAUUGUCGCACUAUAGUGUAGAUAUUGUAAAGCGAUGCGCAGAGAGGAAAAACUAGACCCUUUUCGGCGUCAUGGAGCUGGAGGAUGUGGAUCGUAUGCGUCACUAGCAGAUGGCCGAUGGGGCCAUCACGAAGUCAGUCCCAGAUUCAAGUUCACGAAGCCCAAAUCAUCCAAUUAAGAUCGAUCCGCUAACCGCCCUUUCAUAGCGGCGAGCUGUUGUCAGACAUCAAUUGAAUACUCGAUAUGCCUGUUGACUAUCGAUAGUUCCAUUGUGCAUUUUUCAACACUAGUUACCACAGCAACACAAAUUUUUGCUAAUUUAACAAUUUAAUUUAAAAACAAUUGAAUUAGUAUAAUUCAAGUUUUAAAAACAUAUAUAAACCGAUAAACAGCCAUGGAGGAAGCCGCAGCAUGCCAAUUGCAGUACGAGAACAAGGAGAACUAUGUAUAUUCUCUUGCUGCAAGCCGUCGUACGACUGGCUAUCUACUAGAUGGUGGGCACGCAAAUGCCCGCGUAUUGACACAAGCGUGUCAUAGGCACUGUGCGGUAGCCACCCUGGAAAGAUAUCACAGAUGGCAAGGAUGCCAUAAAUACACUGACUUUGAUUACAGAAAUUUUUUCCAAUGAAAAGGCUUCCAGCAAGGGAAUUCUCUGCGAGAAUUCGGUGGAAAUGCUGCUGGGCUACGAUUGGACUCUGUCAUGCAGCAGAAGCUGAAACUCAGGCCCAUGGCCAGGGUUAACGUAAGCGGAUUCGCGAAAAAAUACACGACGACUCGGCAAUAUCAAAGAUUCUGAGGAUGGGGAUAAGGAUGCGUCAACUGUAGAAGCUCGAUGCGCUGGCCUUGACCUAUGUGACUGUGCCUGCCAUAGAUCUGGCCCAGAUGGUAACUGAGAGCAACGAAUCAUAUUUACAAUAAUUGUCGCACUGUAGUGUAGAUAUUGUAAAGCGAUGCGCAGAGAAGAAAAUCUAAUCCCUUUUCGGCAUCAUGGAGCUGGAGAAUGAGGAUCGUACGCGUCUCUGGCAGGUCUCUGAAACACAGAUGGCCUAUGGGGCCCGCUUCGCCAACUAUGUGGUCCAUCUGGAAAGUGAAUGCCCUUCAAUGCAACCUUCUUCCAUCCGAAGAUCGAGAAAGGCAAGCAAGAUCCACUCCUCUUUGGGAUGCAAUCAGGACUACGAGUUCUCCAUCGAAGUGGCCGAUUCCCAAUCUGAGAGAGAGAACACAUCGGACUAGGUUAAGCAGGCUAGGUUUAUCAUAAUAAAACUAUAAACAAAUUUUGUAAACAUGGAAUGACCAAAGUUUUGUAAAACAAUAAAAAGCCUAUUGCAAAAUAGCGUUAAACAUCCAUA